UACGGAGGGGGCGAGCGUUAUUCGGAAUUACUGGGCGUAAAGCGUGCGCAGGCGGUUUUGUAAGCCAGAUGUGAAAUCCCCGGGCUUAACCUGGGAAUGGCAUUUGGGACUGCAAGGCUGGAGUGUGGCAGAGGAGACUGGAAUUCCUGGUGUAGCAGUGAAAUGCGUAGAUAUCAGGAGGAAUACCGAUGGCGAAGGCAGGUCUCUGGGCUGACACUGACGCUCAUGCACGAAAGCGUGGGGAGCAAACAGG
rnacentral:rRNA from 1 species